GGGGGAGAGCCGCUCGGGCUGAGGCAGCGCUACGGACACGGCGCUCGCUGUCAAUGCCGCCCCUCCCCCCCGCCUUUCAGCCCCCCCCCCCCCCCCCGCCUCCUUCCCCUCCGCUCGCAGGCAGCGCGCGCUCCACGCCCUCCCCGCUAGCGCGCGCUCCCGCGCUACCAACCCAACCGCCACUAAUGGGGGGGGGGGGGGAAGAGGAGGAGGAGAGGAGGGGGGGGGGGGGGGGAGGAGGAGGAGGAGAGGGAAAUGUCACCCGGAGUCCCGGCCCCGGGGGGAGAGGUGGCGCGAUAGGGAUGUGUGAGGGAGAGAGAGGGGCAGCGAGACCUCCGCCAGCCCCGCGGACUUGUCAAGUUGAAAACAGCAGGCUUUGGGGCUCAAAAAGCUGAGACCAUCAUGGCUACGAAAACUACAGCUACUCAGAAAAUACGUAAUUCUGGAGCUCCUUACUGAAAAAGUAGUGCAAGGCAACAUAAGAGCAGUUGCCAAGUGAUCUUCUCUACAGCACCCAUGAACUUCAGCCUUGAACUGAAGAGGACUCAUCAAAUGCCUUACGAGAGACAGCAUGGAAUUGCAAGAGAAGCAGGGAUCUCCAUGAAGGGCGGUCAACUACAGUCUUGGUGUGUGGAGGAACAGGUCCUGUUCUCGCUGUUGUUGCUCCCACAUAGGCGGACUCUGUAAUUGAUUAUGUGUGGGUAGGGCCCUAUUGAAAUUCAGGAGAUUCUGCAAUAGUGCAGGGUUCUUUUUGUGAAAGUUCAGUUGCAAGAUCAGGACUCUACUGUGACUCCUUACUGUGAAUUCUGUCAGUGUAUCAUUGAUUGUGCUGGAACCUGCCUUUUGGGAUAAUUACCAAAUACUAUAUUCCUCAAAACUUCUUAAUGGCACUGAGGCUUUGUGGAUAGUUGGUCACAUGAUGAGAAAAUUCAGCUGUAAGUACAUUGAAAUGAUUGAAUUUUUCAAUAGUUAGUCUUUACUGAUGUUGACAAACUAACAAUGGUAAAAAGGUGAAUCAAGGGGUUUGACUUACGUCAACUGGCUUCAGUUCUUUUUAGAAAAUAUAUACAAUAUAUCCAUUAAGGAUUUCAUUAUUCUCGGGUAAUUCACCAUGUGAACCUGGAGUCCUUCCGUACUGCAGUUAGGUAGGGAGUUUCAAUUUAUUUUCUUUAUUUCCAGAAUAGUGUAUCUCUGUCUUGCUCUGUAUUUUCACCCAUAAACUUUCUGAAAUUUAUAGAUCUAUAAAAACUGUUUAUACUACCAACAUUUGUGUAGAUAUUGCAAAUGGAUUUACUAACAUAAAUGUCUUGCUGAGUUGAAUAUUGAAAUGUUAAUAAAUAUACACUUAUACUUGUGUCAAUGUAACUUGGUUAAAUUAAACUAAACUGAGCUGGCAUUAUGAGUGAAUUUGAUCAUGCAUGCUGAUUAGCUUUAGUUUUAGGCAGGAACUGCAUAUUUUAUUGCAUCUAAGUACUUUGUGGUUAAUCAAUAAUAAUUACCCAUAUCAUAUGUCAGUGGAUUCACCCAAAAUAACUAUAAAUAUCUAUGCUUGGAUUAAGAAGGAAGUUCUUUUCCUGUAGCUAUGGGUACAGUCAUUGCUAUGACUCCUAUUUUUACAUACAAAUGAGCAAAAGCUACAUGUAGGUGUUUUCCUUGUAUAACAAAAGGGGUAUUAUAAACUCCAUGCCCUUUUUUAUGAUGCUGUAUUUCCUUUCUGGUAUUCAAAUACAAGAACAGUUUCAAUGGGGUCUUAGUAUCUGAAAAUGGAAGAACUGGAAAUGUUAUUGAAUUUGUGAAUAAUUAUUAAGGGGCUGUAAAGGUCUAGAGGAGGUAUAUGUAAAGACGAUUAGAUUCUUUCCCAUGGAGCAAGGACACAGAUAAUAAUUGGUGAGUAAAGAUUAAGGAGGAUAGGAUUUUUUUGUUGCCCCUUUUUUUUUUUUUUUUUGCUUGGCAUAAGAGCAUCAUGAGAUGAAAAUAAUGAAGAAAGAGCAAGACCAAAGAAGAAAUCAUAAACUCAGAUCAAAAGCAGACUAGAGAGUCCAAUUUAAAAACCAAAACAAACAAAAAACCCCAGAAGAUGGAUGGCAAAAAUAUGCCUGAAAGGAGAAUUAAAUGCGUAGCUAUUGGUAUUUCUCAUUGCACUGAAUUAGUGAUGGAUUUAAGUUUAAAACUUCCAGUAAGUGUUUUUCGCUAAUUUUUUUUCCUGUUGAAGGGGAGUAUAUGGGCUUUGAAGAAGACUCAGUGAGUAGUUGUGAAUCACCUGUAUAAACCAGGGAUUCAAGAUGACAGUUACAACUAAGAACCGAGGACAAUGAGUUAUGUAUGCAAAACUAGAAUUAGUGCUAAGCAGAAGCCUUAUUUCUUGUUCAAACACAGAACUUUAUUGAAAUGUAUCAUGUUCAAUAGCUGAAAACAUGAUUUCAUGUUUGUUAGGGGAUGGGAAUUUUCAAAGUUCUAGCUUGUAGGUGAACAGUGAUUCUUUAAAGAUUUUGCAAUAUAAAAUGAAAUCAAGAUUUGAGAACAUUGGAUGUUUCAUUUUGCAUAAAAAAAUCUUGAUCAGCAUGUUUUGUUUUAAAAAAUGUUUAGACCUAAUGGUUUACUGUUUUCACAUUUUAAUCCCAUUGGGCAUAUUUAUUAUUACUUGUACUAAAAGAAAAGGAGAGGAAGAUUAGCUGUUGGCAAAAAAACCCCAAACACGACCCUCUAGGUGUGCCUGCCCCACCCCAAACCAGAUCAAAAGAAGUGCCUCAGAAUAGAUCUAGUUUCGGAGGAGAAGUGGGAGAAAGAUGACACACUAGUGAGCGGGGUAUGAGGAAUCCCCUGGAUAUUUCAUAUGUAUCCAAUUUUUUCACUUGUCACCACUGAGAGGCAGAUCACCUAGGUGUGACUGCUUCUCUUUCUUGUGAUGGCAACUUCCCAGUACUUUGAGAGAGAAAAUGUCAGCUCUGUUCUGCCUAGCAGUACUGCUGCUACAAACAUUAUUUGGAAGAAAAGGAACUCUGAAUUGUCUUCUGCUGUAACCAGCUCUCCACUACUCACUGCUGCUUAUCCUCAUUGUUGAGCACUUGAUCUGAUUGUGUCUUUGGUUUAACCCAUGCCAUAAAUGACUGAAACUAGAACAGUGAGAAAGCAGAUACCAAGAGAAGGAGUUGGUGUUUUGGAGGGAGUGAGCAUUUGCUACGCAGCUACACAUUGUGUGGGCUUGGGAAUACUUGAAGAGCUGGAAUACCAAACUACAACAACAGAGAGUAAGUUUCUUUUAGUGGCAAACCAAGGUGAUAGCCCUGAUUCUGUGCACUAAGAAGGAACAGCAAAGGAACGUGCCUGAACAUUCUGCAUGUUAGUUGUUUCAAGUGUAAGUGGUGAGAUCUUUUUCUCUACUGGUGUUUGCACUUGGUUUGUAUCGUGACUGUCCUGUCUUCAAGCUGGAUGUAGCAUGUUUUGUUUAUGUUGAAUGAGGCACCCAUUAUAUUAUAACAUCUCAAACAUUGUUUUUCUUCAACCCUUGAAAGUCAAAAUGUGGUAGUGUAGAUAGCUGUAAUACGUUAGUAAUAAAUGUGACAUGAAAGAAUUUUCUCAUUCCGCAGUAUUUAUAGGAAAAACAAUGUUUUAUGUGUUUCAUAUACCUCCUCCUGUCUUCUUUUCCACUCCUAAGCAGAUCUAAUGCAUGAAAAGUUUCCUUAGUAGUGCCCUCAGUUCUUUAUUUCCAGUUACAACUAUUGGUCUUUUGUUAGUAGGUUUUUUCAUAUUUUGGUUGAGGGCCUCACAGAACCUCUUUGCAUCCUCUAUGAAGGACACCACCAUGCUGUCAUUUGUUUUAAGUCAUCAAACCUAGGCUAUGUCUGAGUUUUGGGAACCUUAUUCCAGCCCUUUAAGGAUGGUCUUUCUUCUCUGUCAGACAAUUACAUUUUUCACCUAGGUUGUCCAUGGAUCAUGUCUUUAUUAGAAAAUCUUUUUCUUUUGCCUUGACAAAUGCAGUCUUGCCAUGCCCAUUAUCUAGUCAAAGUGCUAUUCUACUGUAAAUAUCAGUUUCCAAACUUACUCCUUUGGUAUUUUCAAUUUCCUCCUUUGUUUUAAAGCAAUAAAGAUAAGCUAUCUGUCUUUAUUUUUAAGGCCCAUCAAGACUACUUCUACCUGAUACUUCUUCAGUAUCAAGAGGUUGACUCUGGUUUUGAUCAACAUAUGAUACCAGCUUUCAUCAUUCGGUCAUUAAAUAAUUAGACCACACUGGAUAUUUUCUCCUCAGCUGCCUCUCGUAUUGGUUGACUUCUUCAUAAACAGAACUGUUCACUAUCUUCCUUUAAAUAUUUUCUUAGAAGUUUUAUGUAUGAUGAAGCUUGAAACAGUCCACCUAGACAACAGUUAUAUUGCAGAUAUAUAGUAGUACUGUGCAUUUGUAUUCUGCCGUAAGUUCUCUGUUGUCUCUUUAUGUAGAAUUCAAGCACAUCUACUUUUUGUUUUGUGUUUACUCAUGGCCCAGCAUAGUGAGAAGUGGUCCAGGGUGAGACCUCCAAAGAUUUAUGGUAACACAAAUAAAUAAUAAUAAGUACACACUGGAUAUUGCAGUGUAGCUGUUGGAUUCUGCUGUGCCUAAUGUCACAUCAUAUUUAAUGCAGAAAGAAGGUGCUCCAGCUAGAGGCCUCACAAAUGGGAAAGAAGAAGUGAGUUGCAGCCAACAGACAAAAUGCUAGCCCCAGAGGCCUUCUCAACUGUCAAACCCAAGUCAACAGCUACUGGCAUUGUGUCCUGAAGCAUCCCUCUCUUCUUCACAGCAGUCAGAGCAGACUCUUCCUUCUCGUAGAAGGAACUAAAUGCAAAUAUUACAAAGUUCUGAAGUGUCUGCAAAAGGUUAAAGGACUUUUUAUCCUUCCAUAGCAUCCUUUUGGUCCUUAGUGCAUUCCCUUUCUGACACAGCAUCUUUUGGUACAGAAAUCUUGAAUGACCACAAGCAGUUGUUCCAACUAUACCAUUGCUGUCUGAUCUCUGUUGAGAAGGAACCUACACUAGUUCUAAUUUGGUAUCUUGGUACAUUGGUGUCUUGUAGUGCACUGUUUCCAUUGUGCCUUGAAGUUAAUGACUCUUCGAAAGAGUGGUAAGCAUGAAUUCCAUAAGGAAUGCCCCAGGUAUGUCACCCUCUUUUUGGCAGUGGGUCUGCGUGUAUCCCUUUUCUUUCUUUCAAAGGAAUGCUGAAAUGUCAGUGUAUAAAUUGUACAAAGAUGAUAGAAUGCUUACUGCCUAGCUGGUACAGAGAUGGUAGAUUGGACUAUGCAGACAAAUGGCACUGUAUAUACCAAAGACAAUAUAGUCAAAUAAGUUAAUUCAUCAGAAUAAACCACAAAACAUAAUUACAAAUGGUUUUGUAUCUGAACAGGAAAAGCCUAUUAAGAGCUCUGGACUAGUUGAUGGGAUGGAGACAGUGACUGUGAAGUGCUGUGGGAGACUGGAGAGGCUAUACAACCUGAAAGCUUGAUCAUAACAAGAGUUCUUGGUUAUCUAUAUAUAGACUGGCUAAACUUAACAUUAGGCCACAUUAGGCCAUCAUGCACAGGCUGUAUUUUUAGAUAUCAUCAAGAACUACUUUUUGAGCAAAGCAGCUAGAGAAUCCAGAAGAGGGGGGAGAGCCCUGGAUUUAGUGUAGAUUAGCACACAAGAAGUGACUGUAGAAGAGCCAUUCAGUAGUGGUAUAUAUCAUACUCAAGUUUCUCAUACUUGUAGGAUUAAAUAAAUAACAAUUAAGAAAAGUCCAGUAUUGUUUAAAAAAGAAUUGCAUACAAAUGAAGAUACAAUUCAAAUAAAUAUUCAAAGAGACACGGAGACUUUGCUUCCUGAUUCUAACCCAAAUGAAUAUGAAUUGUCCAACACAACUGAACAGUGAGGGAAGUUACUAGAAAUAAACAGAGGUUUUCCAAAAAGUGAAAUCCAAGCAGGCAAAGCAGAAAAGAGCACAGUUUUGGCAAGUUGAAUGUAGACCUAUUAUAAGGCAGAACAGAAAGAUUUUGAAACGCAACAGGCUAAAAUCCUAAAAGCCAAAACCUUUUUUUUUUAUUUUUCAAGUGUAAAUUUUGCUGGGGGGUGGGGGAGGAUGUUUAAAGACAGACACAUCACAGAAAGAAACAAAUGAACUCUUUGCAUUGGCAAGGCUUAUUACAAGGAGAUUAAGAACAUCCCCACAUAAAAGUUAUUCUUUAUAGGGAAUAUUUCAGAUUUGAAAUAUCAAUAAAAUAUUUUUUUUUAACGAAAUGAUUAAACAAACAUUCAGUUUGCCAGAUUACAUGUUGUUCGUUCAGUAGUCCUAGAGAAACUGAGAAAUGAAGUUGGUGAGCCACGAAUUGUGUUGUAUAGUCUACCACUUAAAUUAGCCUUCGUAACAGAGAAAUGGAAAGUAACAAAGGCGACACUAGUUUUAAAAAGGCCUCUAGGGAUGAUUGUGGACUUAACGGACCAAGUCUGACUACCAUAACACAUAAAAUGCCAAUGAAUGUGAUAAAGAAUAUUGUUAUUAGGAACAUGGAUAGGUGUAAUAGCCAUGAUCUUUGCUUUUGUACAAGGUAGUUUUGUCGUAGAGCUUUGCUAGUUUUUUGAAGAAGUCAACAGAUACACAGGAAAGGGCGACCCAAAAGUUUUAAGAAAGCU